rnacentral:rRNA from 1 species
UCUGGCCACACCAUGCUGAACACACCUGAUCUUGUCUGAUCUCAGAAACUAAGCAGGGUUGGACCUGGCUUAGUACUUGAAUGGGAGAAAUUACAUAUUUGACUUGGAUUUUCCUGGGUCUGCUAAAC